GCACAAGCGGUGGAGCAUGUGGUUAAUUCGAAGCAACGCGCAGAACCUUACCAGCGUUUGACAUGGUAGGACGACUGGCAGAGAUGCCUUUCUUCCCUUCGGGGACCUACACACAGGUGCUGCAUGGCUGUCGUCAGCUCGUGUCGUGAGAUGUUGGGUUAAGUCCCGCAACGAGCGCAACCCUCGACUUUAGUUACCAUCAUUAAGUUGGGUACUUUAAAGUAACCGCCGGUGAUAAGCCGGAGGAAGGUGGGGAUGACGUCAAGUCCUCAUGGCCCUUACGCGCUGGGCUACACACGUGCUACAAUGGCAAGUACAGUGGGCAGCAAUCCCGCGAGGGUGAGCUAAUCUCCAAAACUUGUCUCAGUUCGGAUUGUUCUCUGCAACUCGAGAGCAUGAAGGCGGAAUCGCUAGUAAUCGCGGAUCAGCAUGCCGCGGUGAAUACGUUCCCAGGCCUU
rnacentral:rRNA from 1 species